UACGUAGGGGGCUAGCGUUGUCCGGAAUCAUUGGGCGUAAAGAGCGUGUAGGCGGUCCGGUAAGUCCGCUGUGAAAGUCGGGGGCUCAACCCUCGAAUGCCGGUGGAUACUGUCGGGCUAGAGUGCGGAAGAGGCGAGUGGAAUUCCUGGUGUAGCGGUGAAAUGCGUAGAGAUCUGGAAGAACACCAAAGGCGAAGGCAGCAUUCUGGCUCGUAACUGACGCUCAUGUGCGAAAGCUAGGGGAGCGAACGGG
rnacentral:rRNA from 1 species